rnacentral:lncRNA from 10 species
CUGAGGGCCUCAUUCCCUGGCUCUGUGCUCCUUGAGGUUAUCUACUGGGACAUCUGGAGCCUACUGUUCAAAGAAUGCAGUCAUGCAGGCCUGCACUAAGUCAAGCAGCUGACCACAACCACCCCCUUAUCCCUGUCUCCUUUACUUAAUAAGAAGGGCUCUAGAAGCUCAGGGCCCUUGUUCACUAGAAGCAAGGAGCCCCCUGACCCCUUUUUCCAAAUAUACUCUUUUGUCUUUGUCUUUAUUCCCACUUUUGUCCUCCUUUGUUCAGUCCACCAAGGCCCAUAGCACUAUCUCUUAAUGCCUAACUCUCCUUUCUAUUAUUUCUGGAAUUUUAACUUUUUGAUAUUUAGAACCACUCUUUCCACUUUUAUAAACACUGCAUGCUCAGGCUACCUCCAUAGUGUACAUGCGCUCGAAGAGUUGAGUACACAGUGAACAGAUAUCCACAUUUCAGUUACUAUCUCACAUCGUUAGAACCCACAGGAUACAGAAGCAAAGGCUCUGGUCGUAAUUGUAAGGGUCUGGCUCUGUUGCCCAGAAUGGAGUGCAGUGGUGUGAUCACGGCUUACUGCUCACUGUAACCUGGAACUCUUGGGCUCAAGCGAUCUUCCCACCUCAGCCUUCUAAGUAGUUAAGACCACAGGCACACGCCAUCAUGCCCAGAUAAUUUUUGUAUUUUUUGUAGAGACAGAGUCUUGCCAUGUUGUCCAGGCUGGUCUUGAACUCCUUGGCCUCAAGAAAUCCUCCCAUCUCAGCCUCCCAAAAAGCUGGGAUUAUAGGCAUGAGCCACUAUGCCUGGCUGGAAAGACUUCCUCAAGUGCCCACUUACACGACCCAGAAAGACUUCAGUUACUUUUUUCCUGUGUCUAAACUUCCUUCCUUAGCUCCUCACCUUAGGUCCUCAGCAAUCAGUUCUGAGAUACAAAUUGCCCUGUAUUGCCUUGCUGUAUCUUUAUAGGGCACAAUUAGUGCACUAUCCACUCCAUUAAUCAGUGAAAACAAGGAACAUAUAAGGCCAAGCUCUUGUUUUUUGUUGUUGUUGUUGUUGUUUUUGUUAUUGUUGUUGUUUUUGACAGGGUCUGUUGCCCAGAUUGGCCUCAAAAACUCCUGGGCUCAAGCCAUCCUCUCGCCUCCCCAGUAGCUAGGAUUACAGGCAUGUGCCACACUGCCCAACUUAGACUCUGUUCUUCAUACAAAGACCAGAAUGACAGGGGGCUGCUUAAGUGGCUUGGUCUCCUACAGAAGGCAAAGCUUGAUCAUGAUCCUGUCAAGAAUGCAUUAUCUGCAUCCAGUUCCGCAAAUGUAGCUAACUGCCCAAAUUCCUGCUCCCUCCAGGCUAUCCAGCAAGAUCAUCAGCAAGGUUACAUAGGUUUAGCUCUCCAC